CAUAGAUUAAGCCAUGCAUGUCUAAGUAUAAAUAGUAUACAGUGAAACUGCGAAUGGCUCAUUAAAACAGUUAUAGUUUAUUUGAUAAUUGAAAAUUACAUGGAUAACCGUGGUAAUUCUAGAGCUAAUACAUGCUGUCAAGCCCGACUUUUUGAAGGGUUGUAUUUAUUAGACUUAAGCCAAUAUUCCUCACGGUCUAUUGCGGUGAUUCAUAAUAACUGAUCGAAUCUCAUAUGUGAGAUAAAUCAUUCAAGUUUCUGCCCUAUCAGCUUUCGAUGGUAGUGUAUUGGACUACCAUGGCAGUAACGGGUAACGAAGAAUUAGGGUUCGAUUUCGGAGAGGGAGCAUGAGAAACGGCUACCACAUCUAAGGAAGGCAGCAGGCGCGUAAAUUACCCAAUCCUGACUCAGGGAGGUAGUGACAAGAAAUAGCAAACCGGGAGCCUCACGGUUUCACGGUAUUGCAAUGAGAACAAUUUAAAACUCUUAGCGAGGAACAAGUGGAGGACAAGUCUGGUGCCAGCACCCGCGGUAAUUCCAGCUCCACUAGCGUAUAUUAAAGUUGUUGCAGUUAAAAAGCUCGUAGUUGAACUUCUGUAUGGGGCUAGUUCUGACUUCUGUCUGGCUAGUCCCAUGCAUCCGCUUGUAAGACCUGGAGGGCAUUUAUUUGUCGCCAGGAGGAACAGGCUUUUUACUUUGAAAAAAUUAGAGUGUUUAAGGCAGGCUAUCGCCCGCAUAUAUUAGCAUGGAAUAAUAGAAUAGGACACUUUUCCAUUUCGUUGGUUAUUGGAAUCGUGUAAUGAUUAAUAGGGACAGUUGUGGGCAUUUGUAUUUAAUUGUCAGAGGUGAAAUUCUUGGAUUUAUUAAAGACAAACUAACGCGAAAGCAUUUGCCAAGGAUGUUUUCAUUAAUCAAGAACGAAAGUUAGGGGAUCAAAGACGAUCAGAUACCGUCCUAGUCUUAACUAUAAACUAUUCCGACUCAAUGUUUGGCUGGCUUCUUUAACCAGCUGAGCGUUGUAUGAGAAAUCAAAGUCUUUAGGUUCUGGGGGGAGUAUGGUUGCAAAGCUGAAACUUAAAGGAAUUGACGGAAGAGCACAACCAGGAGUGGAUUCUGCGGCUUAAUUUGACUCAACACGGGGAAACUUACCAGGUUAAAACAAUAGUGGGAUUGACAGCUUGAGAGCGCUUUCUUGAUUGGUUGGGUGGUGGUGCAUGGCCGUUCUUAGUUGGUGGAGUGAUUUGUCUGCUUAAUUGCGUUAACGAACGAGACCUUAACCUGCUUACUAGACUGGCGAUGAACAAUCGUCAGCUCUUCUUAGAGGGACUUUGGUUGUUUUAACUCCAAGGAAGUUUGAGGCAAUAACAGGUCUGUGAUGCCCUUAGAUAUCCUGGGCCGCACGCGUCAUACAAUGACUAGUUCAGAAAGUUUCAUCCUGACCCGGAAGGGGCUGGGUAAUCUUGUCAGUACUAGUCGUAUUAGGGAUAGAUCUUUGCAAUUAUAGAUCUUGAACGAGGAAUUCCUAGUAAGUGCGGUUCAUCAGACCGUACUGAUUACGUCCCUGCUCUUUGUACACACCGCCCGUCGCUUCUACCGAGUGAGUGGUCCGGUGAGAUACUUGGAUCAACGGGGAAACCCGAUUUGAGAAGAUUAUCAAACCUAUCCACUUCGAGGAAGAAGAAGUCGUAACAAGGUUUCCGUAGGUGAACCUGCGGAAGGAUCAUUGACACAACAAUCAAUACACCUAAACCUUUGUUCUGUAUGGCUGUCAGAUUUAUCUUGGCAGUCAUAUUUUUACAAACCUUCUUAACAGAAGAAAAAACCAUAAACAAGCUAAAAACAAAAAAACCAAAAAUACUCAACAAUGGAUAUCUUGGUUCCCAUAUCGAUGAAGAACGCAGCGAAAUGCGAUAUGUAAUGCGAAUUGCAAAAUCCACGAGUCAUCAAAUCUUUGAACGCAACUGGCGUUGGCUACCUGCCAACAUAUUUGUAUCAGUGUGUAAGGAAAUCACAAAUCUGAAUGUGGUUGAGCGUAACAGCUCUCCCAUUAAACACGAGGGGUGGAGGACAACUCUGCCAAACGAAGUAGUCGCUAGCUAUCUAGUGAUCUCGUUUGAGCGCUAGUAGUCUUCAGAAACACCUUUAGCCCAAGCUCUCUCCAUCCAUACCUGAUAUAAGUAAGACCACCCGCUGAACUUAAGCAUAUCAGUAAGCGGAGGAAAAGAAACUAACACUGGUUAACCUGGUUGAUCCUGCCAGUA
rnacentral:rRNA from 1 species